rnacentral:lncRNA from 13 species
CCUGGGACCAAAUAAGGGAAUGUCAUGAAAGGGGCCUCAGGGCUGAGUCUGUGUGAGUCACAUUUUAGUGAAGUGGCCACAUAGCUUCUGACUCAGAGCACAAAGAUUCUUCAAUUCUUUUGUUUUUUGAGAGGGACUCUGUCGCCACCCAGGCUGGAGUGCAGUGGCGUGAUCUCAGCUCACUACAACCUCCGCCUCCCGGGUUCAAGAGAUUCUCCUGCCUCAGCCUCCUGAGGAUCUGGGACUACAGGGAUGGGAUUUCACCAUAUUGGCCAAGCUGGUCUCGAACUCCUGACCUCAUGAUCUGCCUGCCUCGACCUCCC